UACCUGGUUGAUCCUGCCAGUAGUCAUAUGCUUGUCUCAAAGAUUCAUCCAUGCAUGUCUCAGUAUAAGUCUUAAUACGGCGAAACUGCGAAUGGCUCAUUAAAACAGUUAUAGUUUAUUUGAUGGUCAAAUCGUUAUAUGGAUAACUGUGGUAAUUCUAGAGCUAAUACAUGCGCAAAGGCCCGACUUUUCGGAAGGGUUGUAUUUAUUAAAUACAGAACCAAUACGCUUCGGCGUUUUUGGAUGACUCAUAAUAAAUGAACGGAGCAGAUGGCUUGUGCCGCUGCUGUGUCAUUCAAGUUUCUGACCUAUCAGCUUUCGACGGUAGGGUAUUGGCCUACUGUGGCAUUGACGGGUAACGGAGAAUUAGGGUUCGAUUCCGGAGAGGGAGCCCGAGAAACGGCUACCACAUCUAAGGAAGGCAGCAGGAGCGCAAAUUACCCAAUCCUGACACAGGGAGGUAGUGACAAGAAAUAACAAAGCAAGUCCUUACUGGAUUUUGCUAUUGGAAUGAGUAGAAUUUAAAUCUCUUUUCGACUAUCAAUUGGAGGGCAAGUCUGGUGCCAGCAGCCGCGGUAAUUCCAGCUCCAAUAGC
rnacentral:rRNA from 1 species